CCUUGACGAAGCCUUUCGGGGUGACGGUAGGGGUAGAAGAAGCACCGGCCAACUACGUCCAGCGGCCGCGGUAAUACGUAGGGUGCGAGCGUUGUCCGGAAUUAUUGGGCGUAAAGAGCUCGUAGGCGGUCUGUCGCGUCGGUCGUGAAGACUUGGGGCUUAACCCUGAGCUUGCGGUCGAUACGGGCAUGACUUGAGUUCGGCAGGGGAGACUGGAAUUCCUGGUGUAGCGGUGAAAUGCGCAGAUAUCAGGAGGAACACCGGUGGCGAAGGCGGGUCUCUGGGCCGAUACUGACGCUGAGGAGCGAAAGCGUGGGGAGCGAACAGGAUUAGAUACCCUGGUAGUCCACGCCGUAAACGGUGGGCGCUAGGUGUGGGGGCCAUUCCACGGUCUCUGUGCCGCAGCUAACGCAUUAAGCGCCCCGC
rnacentral:rRNA from 1 species